rnacentral:rRNA from 1 species
GACGAACGCUGGCGGCGUGCCUAAUACAUGCAAGUCGAGCGAAGCGGCGGUUGGGUGAGUAACGCGUGGGUAACCUGCCCUUAAGUCUGGGAUACCAUUUGGAAACAGAUGCUAAUACCGGAUACUAAAGGAUGGACUUGCGAUGCAUUAGCUAGUUGGUAAGGUAACGGCUUACCAAGGCGAUGAUGCCUAGCCGGUUUGAGAGACUGAUCGGCCAAAUUGGGACUGAGACACGGCCCAGACUCCUACGGGAGGCAGCAGUAGGGAAUCUUGCACAAUGGACGAAAGUCUGAUGCAGCAACGCCGCGUGAGUGAAGAAGGUUUUCGGAUCGUAAAGCUCUGUUGUUGGUGAAGCGGUAAUCAACCAAAAAGUCACGGCUAACUACGUGCCAGCAGCCGCGGUAAUAC